rnacentral:rRNA from 1 species
UACGUAGGCAGCAAGCGUUGUUCGGAAUUACUGGGCGUAAAGAGUGUGUAGGCGGUGCUCUAAGUCUGUUGUGAAAUCUCCCGGCUUAACUGGGAGGGUGCGGCGGAGACUGGAGUGCUAGAGUGUGGGAGAGGUAAGCGGAAUUCCUGGUGUAGCGGUGAAAUGCGUAGAUAUCAGGAGGAACACCUGUGGUGUAGACAGCUUACUGGACCACGACUGACGCUGAGACACGAAGAGCGUGGGUAGCAAACAGG